rnacentral:rRNA from 1 species
UGGGGGAUAUUGCACAAUGGGGAAAGACCCUGAUGCAGCAACGCCGCGUGAAGGAAGAAGGUCUUCGGAUUGUAAACUUCUGUCCUCAGGGAAGAUAAUGACGGUACCUGAGGAGGAAGCUCCGGCUAACUACGUGCCAGCAGCCGCGGUAAUACGUAGGGAGCGAGCGUUGUCCGGAUUUACUGGGUGUAAAGGGUGCGUAGGCGGAUCUGCAAGUCAGUAGUGAAAUCCCAGGGCUUAACCCUGGAACUGCUAUUGAAACUGUGGGUCUUGAGUGAGGUAGAGGCAGGCGGAAUUCCCGGUGUAGCGGUGAAAUGCGUAGAGAUCGGGAGGAACACCAGUGGCGAAGGCGGCCUGCUGGGCCUUAACUGACGCUGAGGCACGAAAGCAUGGGUAGCAAACAGGAUUAGAUACC